rnacentral:lncRNA from 1 species
GCAGCCUGGAAUUAAUCUUCAAUAAAUUAUGUCUGAUUGGGUCCAACGUCUAAGGUUCCAUUUGCCAGGUAAAUUUGAGACCUGGAUGCACCGGGAUGUCCUAAGAAUGGAAAGCUCAAGAUGGCUCAGGGAUAUAGAUCAGUAAACCAGGCUUUGCCUAAUUGUUUAAUGGGUUUAGGUCCAAAAUUAAUCAGGAUUGUAUCUUUCGUAGAAAAGAAGGAUUCACCUUCCUUCACAUGAAUCCGCAAUUGGAUCACCAACAGCACAGCUCUUAAAGCAUUCCAAACUCAUCCUUUAUCUGCCUGCGCACAUAUCAAAGUGACCAGUGGAUGAUCCAACGGCGAAUUACUGCGGAGGAAGGUGAAUCCUUCAUUCGCGUGAAACAUACAACAGCAUCCCUUGGAUCCCAGCUCGAGCACUGGAGUUCUCAAACAAUGUUGCAAGAGUUCUCGCGUACAGCAACGUUAAUCAUAUGCUAGCGA